AAGAAGCCUGUUGGUGCAUUCUUGGCAUCUGUGCUCCUAGAUUCUACCAAAGCGUCAAUGUGAGCCACCUCUUUCUCCUUUCAGGGAUCCUUCCUCUGUACCCAGAAUGAUAAAAGCCCUGAAUAUCAGCAAUGUGAGUGAAAAGCUAUAAAAAUGAGUGAAAUACUUCUAGCAUACAUUAACAGGAAAAUUGAGCUGGCUCCACAGAGAUAUCACAGCUAUUAGGGGGACAAUCAGCUCACGGGUAGCUCUGUGAAUGGCGCUCACACAGACACAUCUGCUGCUCUGACUUGCACAGCUCCUUGGCUCCAUCCUGGCUCAGAAGCUCAGUCACAGGGUUCUAAAUAGGAGCUGAACCAACUGGGACUUCCUGCGUCAAGCGACUUUGUUUGGAAUUGUUUUGCUUCUGCAACGCCCCCUUAAUCAAGUAAUG